rnacentral:rRNA from 1 species
AGAGUUUGAUCAUGGCUCAGAUUGAACGCUGGCGGCAGGCCUAACACAUGCAAGUCGAACGGUAACAGGAAGCAGCUUGCUGCUUUGCUGACGAGUGGCGGACGGGUGAGUAAUGUCUGGGAAACUGCCUGAUGGAGGGGGAUAACUACUGGAAACGGUGGCUAAUACCGCAUAACGUCGCAAGACCAAAGAGGGGGACCUUCGGGCCUCUUGCCAUCAGAUGUGCCCAGAUGGGAUUAGCUUGUUGGUGAGGUAACGGCUCACCAAGGCGACGAUCCCUAGCUGGUCUGAGAGGAUGACCAGCCACACUGGAACUGAGACACGGUCCAGACUCCUACGGGAGGCAGCAGUGGGGAAUAUUGCACAAUGGGCGCAAGCCUGAUGCAGCCAUGCCGCGUGUAUGAAGAAGGCCUUCGGGUUGUAAAGUACUUUCAGCGGGGAGGAAGGUGUUGUGGUUAAUAACCGCAGCAAUUGACGUUACCCGCAGAAGAAGCACCGGCUAACUCCGUGCCAGCAGCCGCGGUAAUACGGAGGGUGCAAGCGUUAAUCGGAAUUACUGGGCGUAAAGCGCACGCAGGCGGUCUGUCAAGUCGGAUGUGAAAUCCCCGGGCUCAACCUGGGAACUGCAUUCGAAACUGGCAGGCUUGAGUCUUGUAGAGGGGGGUAGAAUUCCAGGUGUAGCGGUGAAAUGCGUAGAGAUCUGGAGGAAUACCGGUGGCGAAGGCGGCCCCCUGGACAAAGACUGACGCUCAGGUGCGAAAGCGUGGGGAGCAAACAGGAUUAGAUACCCUGGUAGUCCACGCCGUAAACGAUGUCUACUUGGAGGUUGUGCCCUUGAGGCGUGGCUUCCGGAGCUAACGCGUUAAGUAGACCGCCUGGGGAGUACGGCCGCAAGGUUAAAACUCAAAUGAAUUGACGGGGGCCCGCACAAGCGGUGGAGCAUGUGGUUUAAUUCGAUGCAACGCGAAGAACCUUACCUGGUCUUGACAUCCACGGAAGUUUUCAGAGAUGAGAAUGUGCCUUCGGGAACCGUGAGACAGGUGCUGCAUGGCUGUCGUCAGCUCGUGUUGUGAAAUGUUGGGUUAAGUCCCGCAACGAGCGCAACCCUUAUCCUUUGUUGCCAGCGGUCCGGCCGGGAACUCAAAGGAGACUGCCAGUGAUAAACUGGAGGAAGGUGGGGAUGACGUCAAGUCAUCAUGGCCCUUACGACCAGGGCUACACACGUGCUACAAUGGCGCAUACAAAGAGAAGCGACCUCGCGAGAGCAAGCGGACCUCAUAAAGUGCGUCGUAGUCCGGAUUGGAGUCUGCAACUCGACUCCAUGAAGUCGGAAUCGCUAGUAAUCGUGGAUCAGAAUGUCACGGUGAAUACGUUCCCGGGCCUUGUACACACCGCCCGUCACACCAUGGGAGUGGGUUGCAAAAGAAGUAGGUAGCUUAACCUUCGGGAGGGCGCUUACCACUUUGUGAUUCAUGACUGGGGUGAAGUCGUAACAAGGUAACCGUAGGGGAACCUGCGGUUGGAUCACCU